UGAUGAUGAUGAUGAUGAUGAUAAUGAUGAUGAUGACGAUGAUGGCGAUGAUGACCUUCUUCAUCUCCAUUCUAUCAUUAACAUAAAGA
rnacentral:miRNA from 1 species